ACGCGCACUGGCCCGCGCCCAGCCUCCGCUAGGGGACCCCCUCCAUGGCUUCCCACCGGGUUGUUCCAGGCCUCAGCUUCGCCGAAAGGCCUCACCACCUCCGACCUCCGCCUGCCCUGGGGAUGCUCCCAGCCCUGCUGCGGCAGAACGCGACAUGCUAACCGCAAUCCCUAGGCCGCCUGUCUCCUACCCAUACUUAGAGGCCCCGCUCAGACGGUCCUUAAAACGUCUGAAAGGCCGUUCCUGCCAGAGUCCCUGCUACCUGUUACCUCCACCCCUAUUUAGUCCUAGUGGACAGCCUCGCUCACCUUCCCUGGGAUGACACUUCUGGCGGCUGAGAUGAGCGAGCCUCUCUGGGCUCUGCCGCCGGGUGUGGGCUGACCUGCCUACAGCUGGGGCCUGAUAAGGCAGCAGCAAAAGGGUGGAGGGGAGGCAGUGUUGAAGCUGGGGCAAGUAAUUUUCCCCAAUUUACAGGGAAAAACCGAAAUUCAGAAAAGUUUAAUGUCACCCAGGGGCUGGAGCCCAGACCUCUGGCAGCUCUCACUUUCACAAUGCCCUUGGGCUGACUAGGCUGCAGAGGGGUUUCACCCCAACCCCAGGGCACCUCAGGUGUCCCCACCAAACCUUCCUAACACCUGUCCACUAAGUAGAGAGGCCUCUCAGGGGGCUAGCUGUACUAGGCCCUUGCAACUGACCUAUGGGACCUGAGGCCUGGCCCCUCAUGGCUCCUGUCACCAGGUCUCAGGUCAGGGUCCAGCAGGCCCUGAGCUGACGUAUGGAGCCAGAGCCACCCAAUCCCGUAGGGACAGGUUUCACAACUUCCCGGAUGGGGCUGUGGUGGGUCACAGUGCAGCCUCCAGCCAGAAGGAUGGGGUGGCUCCCACUCCUGCUGCUUCUGACUCAAUGCUUAGGGGCCCCUGGUGAGUGCCCCCAACCCUGAUCCCCAUCUGCCUUCAGGAGGGGUUGGCCCCAUUCUCCUAUUCUAGGAUGAGAAAAAAGUCGGGGAGCCAGAGGCUCAGUGGGCAUGGGGCAGUGACCUUGCCCUCUUGAGCACAGCUGGGAAGCCCUAGGAACACAUAGACAUUGCCCACUCAGGCCUCUAUUAGCACAUCUGCUCUAGCACUGAAGCAGUGUCAGGACCACACAGAUGCACGCACACAGCAGGCAGUGACCCCUCCUGAGCCUGAUCUACCCCUCUAACCUAGCAUAUGCCUUUGUGCAGGUGAGAGCCCAGAUUUGGAGUCUGAAUGCCUAGCCAGGGCCCCUGGCUGGGUAAUGUGAUGGCUCUGAGCCUUAGCAUUCUCAUUUGAGAGAUGAGGUGGGGCAAGCUUCAUCACCCACUGCUCUCACAGAGCGUAUGUGUUAGAUCUGAGCCCGGUGCCUGGGCCACUAAACAGAGGCAUUGGUGAUAACUACCAAGUCUGGGCCUGCUUCCCAGGGGAAAUUUUUUUCACAAGUAUCUGUGCAGGGGGCUAGACUGGCCCUUGAAAGUGCAUACAGGGUCCAUCCCAGAAGCCUUGUAGCUUUGAUCCCCUGAAUGAACAAAGUGUGGACAUGCCAAUACACAUUACUGACAUGUAUGCCCACCUGACCUGCACCCACUCAUGCCCACUCUGCAGGGCAGCGCUCGCCAUUGAAUGACUUCCAGGUGCUCCGGGGCACAGAGCUACAGCACCUGCUACAUGCGGUGGUGCCCGGGCCUUGGCAGGAGGAUGUGGCAGAUGCUGAAGAGUGUGCUGGUCGCUGUGGGCCCUUAAUGGACUGCCGGGCCUUCCACUACAACGUGAGCAGCCAUGGUUGCCAACUGCUGCCAUGGACUCAACACUCGCCCCACACGAGGCUGCGGCGUUCUGGGCGCUGUGACCUCUUCCAGAAGAAAGGCAAGUGGGGGUGGAGAGGGGCAGGGUGGGAGACAGGGGACCUCAGCCCAAGUUGAUCUUCUGUCUCUUGCUCCCAGACUACGUACGGACCUGCAUCAUGAACAAUGGGGUUCGGUACCGGGGCACCAUGGCCACGACCGUGGGUGGCCUGCCCUGCCAGGCUUGGAGCCACAAGUUCCCGAAUGAUCACAAGUGAGACAAACACCUUCCCUCCGUCCCGGCCUGGGGCCUUCCCCCAGCACACACUAUAGUGAUGCUCUGGGCCCUCAGGUACACGCCCACGCUCCGGAAUGGCCUGGAAGAGAACUUCUGCCGUAACCCUGAUGGCGACCCCGGAGGUCCUUGGUGCUACACAACAGACCCUGCCGUGCGCUUCCAGAGCUGCGGCAUCAAAUCCUGCCGGGAGGCCGCGUGUGUCUGGUGCAAUGGCGAGGAAUACCGCGGCGCGGUAGACCGCACGGAGUCAGGGCGCGAGUGCCAGCGCUGGGAUCUUCAGCACCCGCACCAGCACCCCUUCGAGCCGGGCAAGUUCCUCGACCAAGGUCUGGACGACAACUAUUGCCGGAAUCCUGACGGCUCCGAGCGGCCAUGGUGCUACACUACGGAUCCGCAGAUCGAGCGAGAGUUCUGUGACCUCCCCCGCUGCGGGUCCGAGGCACAGCCCCGCCAAGAGGCCACAACUGUCAGCUGCUUCCGCGGGAAGGGUGAGGGCUACCGGGGCACAGCCAAUACCACCACCGCGGGCGUACCUUGCCAGCGUUGGGACGCGCAAAUCCCGCAUCAGCACCGAUUUACGCCAGAAAAAUACGCGUGCAAGUGAGGUGGGGGGGGCGGGCGUUGGGACGUGCUGCUGCGGGUGAGACGGGAGGAGGGUAGUCACGGGCUCAGGGCUGGAGGCUGGCGGGCUAGGGCUGAGUGGAGCGCCUGCUUAGAGACCUUCGGGAGAACUUCUGCCGGAACCCCGACGGCUCAGAGGCGCCCUGGUGCUUCACACUGCGGCCCGGCAUGCGCGUGGCCUUUUGCUACCAGAUCCGGCGUUGUACAGACGACGUGCGGCCCCAGGGUGAGGCCCAAGCUUGGGGGAUACAGAGCCGGGGCUGGAAGCCUGGAACCGGAGGGCCGGGGCGAGGUCUCGGCCUGAUGGCUGCCCGCACCCGCCACAGACUGCUACCACGGCGCAGGGGAGCAGUACCGCGGCACGGUCAGCAAGACCCGCAAGGGUGUCCAGUGCCAGCGCUGGUCCGCUGAGACGCCGCACAAGCCGCAGUGAGUCCCUGGUGCUCCCGGCCCCGCCAGGGCCCUAACCCUGGGGCGGCAUGCUUUGGUGUCUGGGACCAGAGCCUGGAAAUGGUUGAGACUACCCUGCCACGAUUUUGCUCCCGCUUCCGCCUAGGUUCACGUUUACCUCCGAACCGCAUGCACAACUGGAGGAGAACUUCUGCCGGAACCCAGAUGGGGAUAGCCAUGGGCCCUGGUGCUACACGAUGGACCCAAGGACCCCAUUCGACUACUGUGCCCUGCGACGCUGCGCUGAUGACCAGCCGCCAUCAAUCCUGGAUCCCCCAGACCAGGUGCAGUUUGAGAAGUGUGGCAAGAGGGUGGAUCGGCUGGAUCAGCGUCGUUCCAAGCUGCGCGUGGUUGGGGGCCAUCCGGGCAACUCACCCUGGACAGUCAGCUUGCGGAAUCGGGCCAGCAUUUCUGCGGGGGGUCUCUAGUGAAGGAGCAGUGGAUACUGACUGCCCGGCAGUGCUUCUCCUCCUGCCAUAUGCCUCUCACGGGCUAUGAGGUAUGGUUGGGCACCCUGUUCCAGAACCCACAGCAUGGAGAGCCAGGCCUACAGCGGGUCCCAGUAGCCAAGAUGGUGUGUGGGCCCUCAGGCUCCCAGCUUGUCCUGCUCAAGCUGGAGAGAUCUGUGACCCUGAACCAGCGUGUGGCCCUGAUCUGCCUGCCCCCUGAAUGGUAUGUGGUGCCUCCAGGGACCAAGUGUGAGAUUGCAGGCUGGGGUGAGACCAAAGGUACGGGUAAUGACACAGUCCUAAAUGUGGCCUUGCUGAAUGUCAUCUCCAACCAGGAGUGUAACAUCAAGCACCGAGGACGUGUGCGGGAGAGUGAGAUGUGCACUGAGGGACUGUUGGCCCCUGUGGGGGCCUGUGAGGGUGACUACGGGGGCCCACUUGCCUGCUUUACCCACAACUGCUGGGUCCUGGAAGGAAUUAUAAUCCCCAACCGAGUAUGCGCAAGGUCCCGCUGGCCAGCUGUCUUCACGCGUGUCUCUGUGUUUGUGGACUGGAUUCACAAGGUCAUGAGACUGGGUUAGGCCCAGCCUUGAUACCAUAUGCCUUGGGGAGGACAAAACUUCUUGUCAGACA
rnacentral:sRNA from 1 species